GAUGGGUGAUUCUUCCUCAAACCCUAAAUAACCGUUUUGAGGAUGAAACAAGGUCGAGGCGAUCACUGGCGUAAAAACUCAGAAACUUACAUCGACGGUCUUCCCCAAGCGAGUGGAAACAACGGGGUCGACGUCGGGAGGCCGGCAGGUACCGUACAUGCUUCACUGUCUGUCGUCUGCUCUGCGAUGUGCCAUUAAUGGCUAGGUGGUCCUCGCCGCGGACUGCUGCGAAUCCCGGAGGAAGCUCUUGUCGCGCUCGAACUGGUUUUUC
rnacentral:lncRNA from 1 species